UACGUAGGGUGCGAGCGUUAAUCGGAAUUACUGGGCGUAAAGCGUGCGCAGGCGGUUUUGUAAGACAGGCGUGAAAUCCCCGGGCUCAACCUGGGAAUGGCGCUUGUGACUGCAAAGCUAGAGUGCGGCAGAGGGGAUGGAAUUCCGCGUGUAGCAGUGAAAUGCGUAGAUAUGCGGAGGAACACCGAUGGCGAAGGCAAUCCCCUGGGCCUGCACUGACGCUCAUGCACGAAAGCGUGGGAGCAAACAGG
rnacentral:rRNA from 1 species